GUGAGGAAUAUUGGUCAAAUGGGCGAGAGCCUGAACCAGCCAAGUCGCGUGAAGGAUGACUGUCUUAUGGAUUGUAAACUUCUUUUAUACGGGAAUAACAAGAGCCACGAGUGACUCCCUGCAUGUACCGUAUGAAUAAGCAUCGGCUAACUCCGUGCCAGCAGCCGCGGUAAUACGGAGGAUGCGAGCGUUAUCCGGAUUUAUUGGGUUUAAAGGGUGCGUAGGCGGCCUGUUAAGUCAGCGGUGAAAUCUAGGAGCUUAACUCCUAAAUUGCCAUUGAUACUGGCGGGCUUGAGUGUAGAUGAGGUAGGCGGAAUGCGUGGUGUAGCGGUGGAAUGCAUAGAUAUCACGCAGAACUCCGAUUGCGAAGGCAGCUUACUAAGGUACAACUGACGCUGAAGCACGAAAGCGUGGGUAUCAAACAGGAUUAGAUACCCUGGUAGUCCACGCAGUAAACGAUGAUAACUGGGCGUAUGCGAUAUACAGUAUGCUCCUAAGCGAAAAGCGUUAAGUUAUCCACCUGGGGAGUACGCCGGCAACGGUG
rnacentral:rRNA from 1 species